rnacentral:rRNA from 1 species
GACGAACCGAGCGAACGUUGUUCGGAAUAACUGGGCUUAAAGGGCGCGUAGGCGGGCUGUCAAGUCUGGGGUGAAAUCCCGCGGCUCAACCGCGGAACUGCCUCAGAUACUGACGGCCUCGAGGGAGGUAGGGGCGAGCGGAACGAAUGGUGGAGCGGUGAAAUGCGUUGAUAUCAGGAGGAACACCAAUAGCGAAGGCAGCUCGCUGGGACGUUACUGACACUGAGGCGCGAAAGCGUGGGGAGCGAACAGG